UACAGAGGGGGCAAGCGUUGUUCGGAAUUACUGGGCGUAAAGGGCGCGUAGGCGGCCUGCUAAGUCGAACGUGAAAUCCCCGGGCUCAACCCGGGAACUGCGUCCGAUACUGGCAGGCUUGAAUUCGGGAGAGGGAUGCGGAAUUCCAGGUGUAGCGGUGAAAUGCGUAGAUAUCUGGAGGAACACCGGUGGCGAAGGCGGGUCUCUGGGCAGUAACUGACGCUGAGGAGCGAAAGCGUGGGGAGCGAACAGG
rnacentral:rRNA from 1 species